AUGGAUGGGAGAGCACGCCUCGCCUGUCGAGCACAGAUGUUCGUGAGGCAGGGCAGGGGGUGGGACGAACAGAUGGGUUGCGAGGAGGUGGCGGGAGCGUUCCUUGGCAAGUGUGGCUGCUCACCACGCCUCACGGUCUCCCGUGGUGUUGUCAAAUGGUUGACAAGAGAGGUGCACAGAUGCACCGCUCCACCCAUCUGUGCUCGAGUUAAUGCAGCGGUGGCGCGGACCCUGGAAACCCAUUCGAACAGUGGAGAGAUGGCGCCCAGCAGCACCAUGCCGCCAAGCUCUAAUCUCACCGAAUCGUCUGGCUCCACAUUGAUAGUAGGCGGUGUGCAGGUUCUUAGUGACGUCGUCGGGCUUGACGAUCUGUUUUUCCUGAUCACUCUUCUGGGGUUGCAAGCGUCGAUGACGAUGCAAGUGUGCUGGGGCAAGGACCUGUCGUUGGUGCAGAUGGGUGAUGUUGGGGUGGAGCUUCCUGUUUUCUCUUGUGAAGAGGAGACGGCGGAGUUUAAUCCUUGCAUGGCGCAUGCAGUGCAAGUAGAGGCAUGCGAGGUGGAGGAGGGGGACCACAUGUCGGGGACUGGUACUAGGGAUACAUCAACAACGCUAGCACAGCACCGGGGCUUGGCGCAGCAAGGGGGGAGGGAGCAAGAACAAAGCUUGCUGGUUGAGAUGGGGCGGAGAUCUAGGAACUACUCGGCUGCAGCUCAACCGGAUCUUGCUUCUUGCUCUUCAAUGGCUGCUGCCAAGAAGAUGCCCGUCCUGAACACCCCCUACAAUGCCGGUAUGAUCCAAACGAUUGCCGGGGAGUGGAACCCCAACAUCAUGUCUGUUUUCGCGGGGGUAGGGAUGGAGCAGUUUUGCAAGCUCAAGGCUUUAGGCAAUAAUAAUCGCAUAUUUUCCAUGUCCCUGCUCGCUAGGAUAGAUCCUAAAACUAUGAAGAUGGACAUGGGGGACGGAAACUUUGUUGUGAUUGACUCUAGGGAGGUAGCAAAAUGCAUAGGAUUGAACCCUAGCGGGAAAAAGAUCGAUAUCCGGGCUGGUGCUUGCUUGCCAGACCGGGAAGAGUUACUAGGGAAGUUUCAUGCCAUCUUAGAGACUGGCAUGCCCAAAACAUGCAAGAUUCCAAUUGUGAGAGUUAAAAAGAUAGUGCAAAACACUAGCAAAGUAGCAAUCGUGGGGGCGGAGAGAGAGAGAGAGAAAAUGAUGGCCGCGUGCACAAUCCUCGCAGCAUCCACAUUUCUUCUUCCUAGAGGAGCCCAUCCGAAGAUUUCGAAUGAGCUGUUGCCUGUUCUUGCUGAGCCGAACAAAAUAUCGGAAUAUGAUUUGUGUGACUACGUGGUGGAGGGGUUGAGAGAGGCUGCAGCAAAACUGAGGGAUGAUUUGUUGCAUGACCCAUCUCAGCUUUCUCUUCAGGGGUGCCUCCUUGUUCCUCAGAUCAUCUUCUGUGACUACCAUGAGCAUGGCAUGGAAGGGCGUGAGCAGCUACCACUUCCUCGGAUGGCGUCGUACUCCGAUCUGUUGAUGAAGCUUCAGAUACGCAAGCACGCAACCAAGAACGGAGUGGAUGCAGGCUUCGAGAUUCUGGCUGCACUUAAGGAGGCAGUGGCACAUCAGUUCAAGAAAAGGGAGGAGGAGUUCUUGAAGAUGGUGGACGAUGCCAAGGAGAAGGUGCUGGCGGAAAUACGGUGCAAGACGGAAGCCAAACGACAGAGAGAACUAGAAGACACACUAGAGGAUUUCAUGGACAGGGUGAAGAGGCAGGCUCCAAUGGCGGUGGCGUUCCCCAACGUCACACCGUCUUCUCAUGUGCCAAGAAGCAAAAUAGAUAUCGUGCAAGACCUAGCUACUACUUCACGUGAAGCUGCUCAAUCUCUGAUGGUUGCUGUGGUCCGUAACGAGGAAACACGUAGCCCCCCAGCUGGGGAAACAGGUAUUUCACUAGCCUCUGGAAGCAAGAACCAUAACGUGCAUGUGCCUCCGAUGGAGCAUGGAAAAGUGGGUGGGCGCAUGUGUACUAGGCAGAUGACAAUGCAGGAGGCACUGGGUGCGGAUCGACGACAGACCAAGUUGUGCCAGUCGUACACCAAGAAUGUGACCAAGUUAUCUAGUGUGCUUGAAGGUGCAGGGCUGGGCGUUGCUAAUGCAGCUGGCAUUGCGACGCUUACUCCCAUAGGAAACAAGAGGAUUGCGCUCCCAGAUGGUGGCCAACAGAGUACCCCUGGUCCUCUAGCUAUGGUUCCAGCAAUGCCUCCGUCGCUACCGCCACCUCCGCCGGAAUAUGGAUAUUCACCAUCUGAGUUGGAGCUUCACCAUGUUUUUUAUCCGGAUUACGUGUGCGCUGACUUCUAUGAGUCCAUCUUGCUGCUCACCAACCCAAAUGAACUAAGCAGGACUUGGUUUGAGCACCACUCCCCUACUGUGCUGAGGAUAGAUGGUCACAAGAUUAAGUACCAGUUCAGUUUGCAUGGAGAGAUGAUGUACACUAGACUUGAUGCUUGGGUGCGUGGGUGGAAUGAGAGGGAGAGGAGAAUGAUGGAGAGGGUCCACCUGCCAAACUGGAGGGCUCUGGCCCCACCAGAUGCUGUGGUGAGUGCAUAUUCAAUAAUGCAUCAGCUUAGUGUGGGGAAUGCUAUGUUGAUUGGCUUGCUUGCUGCGCCAAACCUUGGGUUCAGGCUUGCCACUUGUCGUUUGAUCAUGUUCCCCGUCUGGCUCAAUCACGAGUGGUGCUUGUACGUCUUCGACAUGGAGCGCACCAGGCUCACGGUCUUUGAUCCCUUGUACACACAGCUGUCUGCGCACGUGUACGAGGGGAAGCAUGGGGGGACAGUGCACAUGCUUCUAAGAGUAAUGCAAAUCCUUGGGACGAUACUGGUGGACGGUUGGCACAUGGACAUUUCUGCAUGGACCGUGGUGUACAACCAGGACAUGCAUGUGGCAUGCGGCAGCGGUGAAUCUCCUGGCUACCUUGCUUAUUAUGCUGACAACUACAAUGGUCACGAACUGGAGCAAGCUGUCCCAGUGGUUGGUCUCCCCGGGCGGCACCAGAGGAUGCUGUAUGAGACAAUUGCCUGCCACGGAACACUACUCCUCGCCCAGGAUUCAUGGAGCAGGUGGAGGAGGAGGAGUAGGAUCCAGUUGCCAUGCCAUGAACUUAACCGUGUAUCAUUUUGUAACUGGCUUGUUGCUGGUUCUGCCUGUCAAUGUCACGUGCUGGACGUGGCAGAUGGGUGCUUCACAAUUUGCAAGAUGCAUAGUUGGGUGAACUGUGCGACUGGAUUGGUACCUAACAAACUAGUGAGCGUACCUAGUUGGCUAGGAGACGUGUAUCUCUGCGGCUCCACAUGUACGCGCCAGCCAAAUGGGUGCCGCGAGCCGCACCAGCCACAAAAUUUGAAAGAAUCAGACCGUUGGGAGGGAGCCGUUGGCUAUAUAAUGACCAUGCCAGGCACCCAGCGCCACCAUCCUCUAACACACACAUCCAACGGCAAUAUGGGAGGUUGCAACUUCUACGAGUGGCACGACGAUCCCAUUGAAGAUCCCUUCCUGAAGCAACUACUGAUUGAUUUGCGAGACAAGGUUCGCCUGCUGGAGAGGAUGAAUUCUGAACUACACAGGGGAGCGAUGGCUGUGCAAGAGAGGCAGGUUGUCCAGGCAGAGAAUCGUCUAGCUCCAGUAGCUCGUCUGCCUGCGACUGCAAGGUGUGGCUACUGGAAGAAUGUGGCCCUGUUUGUGUUGGUUGUGGCACUGGUGUGGAAUGUUUUAUUUGUCUAG
rnacentral:rRNA from 1 species